AUGGGGGGGGGGCUCCGAGCAGCUCCGGGCACCCCCAAAGGGAUGCAGUGUGCUGGGGGGCACGGGGGGGGCCACGGCUUCCUGAACCCCAAAAGGGAUGUGGGGUGCUGGGGGGACGUGAGGCUCCCUGAACCCCCAAAAGGGAUGUGGGGUGCUGGGGGCAUGGGGGGACACGCAGCUCCUGGCACCCCAAAAAGGAUGCCUGGUGCUGGGGGGGGGGCACGCGGCCCCCUGGAUGCCUGGUACUGGGGGGACGGACUGGAUAAGGGACGCCUGGUACUGGGGACGUGGGGCGCUUGCAGCUCCUGGCACCCCAAAAGGGAUCACUGGUGCCAGAGGGGGAUGCACACAGCUCCCGGCACCCCACAAGGGGCUCACGGUGCUGGGGGGAGGACACGCAACUCCCUAAACCCUAUAAGGGACGUUCGGCGCCAGCGGGGGAUGCUCAGCUCCCCACACCCCAUGAGGAGCCGGAGGAAGGGCACUCAGCUCCCCGAACCCCCUGGGGGACGCGCGGCGCCGCGCACAGCCGGGGUUCGCCCGGUCCCGUUUGGGUGCCCCCAUCCCGUCCCCGCACCUUUCCCCGGGGGGGACACCGUGCGGCCCCCGCGGGCUCCCCAUGGAGGCCGAGCGGCGGUGCCGGGGAGGAAUGAGCCGCUCCGUGACUCAUCGCUGAGGCAUCGCCAUCUCCUCCCAACCCCGGAAAAGCCAGCGCUGGCCGGGCCAUGCCAAGCGGCACCGCGUGGGCCCCCGCUGGGGGCCCCGGGGGUCCUGACCCCGCUCCCGGCAGCAGGUGGAACCCCCGGGGACCCCAAAAGCCAACCCCGCCGGCUCAGCCCCUCUGGCCGGGGCAGGACCAGGGCGGCCGAGAUCCGAGAACUGGCACCGGCCAAACCAGGCCUGCGGGAAGGCGCCGGAGCACUAAAAUCCUAUUUGGGGCCCUUUUUGCCUCCAGCUUUUUGGGGGAGCCUCAGUGUUGUGCACCCCGAUUUUCCACCUGUAGGAAAAUCACCCGGCAGCACAGCCCCGGGGCCCCCCGGGGCGGGGGGGGGGGCUUGGAUGGGUCCCCGGCUCCAGCACCUUGCGGAUGAGAAGAAUUUCCUGCGGGGCUUCGGGCCAGGGAUCGGCUCCAAGGCCAGGGAUCGGCGGUGGGGCAGCGUCCGCGCCAGCUCGGGGUCAGCCCGGGCCGCGGGGCUGCCCCGAGAGCUGCAGGAAAAUUGGCGAGCCGGCACCGACGUGGCGCUGAGCACGGCCCGGGGAGGAAGGGAGAGCACUGGGGGCAAGAAUAAAAAAAAUCCCACUGCUAUAGGGAUUGCGGGGGGUGGGGGGGGGUUAAAGAAACCCCGCAGGAACCUGCUCGGAGCUCCCCUGACCCCACAGGGGCUCUCAGCACCCGGUAGCACCGAGGCACGUUUCCAACCGGCCCCAAAACCUCACCCCGCGUCCCCCAGUCAGCAAACGCCCCCGACGCCCCGAUUUGCAUCAUUUAGGGCACAAACGGGGGGAGCAGCCUGCUCUGGGGGUCGGAAGCAGCUCCAAAACGUGGGGAGCGCAACGCCACCGGGACGCCUGUGGGAUGUCCCCGAGAGGGAGGAGCGGGGCUGGGGCUCGGGGCCAUCAGCAGGACCCUUCCUCGGGCUCCCAGCCGCGGCUGGCUCGAGCGUGGGAGCAGGUGGAGCGAGCAGCUGA
rnacentral:lncRNA from 1 species